rnacentral:snoRNA from 13 species
GCCUAUGAUGACAAACUUGAGUUUCACUGAAAGCAAGUCAAUGAAUUUGCAUAAUUGUUGAAAUUCAUGAACUAGGACGGUCUGAGGC